GUUGCUAGUAAUCGCGAAUCAGCAUGUCGCGGUGAAUACGGUUCCCGGGCCUUGUACACACCGCCCGUCACACCAUGAGAGUUGGCAAUACCCAACGUACGUGAUCUAACCCGCAAGGGAGGAAGCGUCCUAAGGUAGGGUCAGCGAUUGGGGUGAAGUCGUAACAAGGUAUC
rnacentral:rRNA from 1 species